UGAGCCACCUGUCAUCAAGAUCAAGAUUUGCUGCGACCCAGGCCCAGCCCUUCUAAUAUAUUCUAUCAUUCUUGAAUCACUGGAUAAUGAAAGCUAUGCCGUUAUCACACUUUUCGUUUUCCUGCUACUCUAAGGACACUGGCUGUUGUGUCCUUCAUCCUACGAUAUCAUCACGUUCACUUACGCAGCGCCCUGAGAACUUCUUGGAAAAGGAGUCAAGGACAGACAGCUACUUUACUCUACCUGAUUCUUUGGCCAAGCUGAAUACCCCAAGCUGUGCCAUGAUGGAUGACAAGGAUUGCUAUAAGAUGCUGGAGGUAUUAAUGAAGUCACAGUUUCAAACAAUUUCAAGAGGAUGAGGAAAAGGAAACACUCAAGCUGGGAAGUGAAGUUAUGAAGCAAAGCUAGCUUCUUUACUGUGUCCACCCUGCGUGCCAGUGUGUGCUGAAGUCUUGAAAGCUGCCGGACUCAGGCUUCCAAUGAGGAACUGCCACAGGCUGAUGUGGAGUGAGCUGCCGUGCAGAAAGGUCGGCAUGCUCCAGGCAGAGAAGUUCAGCAGGAAAUCAUACAAAAUUUCUUCCACUAUUGAGAUUGCUGCUGAGAUGGUGCAAUCUGUUGCAGUGCCUGCUGCAAGCCCUGAUGGAUAAUCAUCCCCUUCCUUAAAAAGACUCAUUGCUCCUGCACCACUGCCACCAGCUCCUACACGGAAGCAUUCAUCUGCUACUGCUUCUCAAAUACUUGACAAAUAUUCAAGCUUUGAAUGAACACUUAUAAUAAAUUAAAGAAAUAACUUAUUUUGUAUUGCCUACAAUUUACAAAUAUACUGUUAGUCAGGAUACAUGUCUUGCUAUCCUAUGGUGUCAUAUUUCCUUUCUAUGUAUACAAAGUGUUGGUAAGAUGAUACACUUUUGGAAUAACUUUUCUAAAUGCACAAGACAUAUAUUCCUAAAAAAAAAACAACCCAAAGCAACAAAAAAACAACACUCACCUGCAGGAAUUCGAAGCCUUCUGCUGCGGCUUUGAUAGGGAGCUGCUGUUGGCUUGGAAGCCAGAUGUGCCUACAGGGCUACUGAUGUACUGCACAAAUACAAAGCAUUUAAUUAGCACAUCAUUUGACUUCAAUAAAAAUACAGUUGAAAAAUAUGGCACACACAUACAUACAUAAAGAGUGUUUAUAGGUAUGUAAUAAAUAACAAAAUUUGAACUUAUGUUAGCAUGGAACAAAUAGCAUAGUUAUACACCAUUGAGUGAUGUC
rnacentral:misc_RNA from 1 species